rnacentral:rRNA from 1 species
GAGUGAAAUCCGUAGAUAUUAGGAGGAACACCAAUGGCGUAGGCAGGUGACUGGCUCGUUCCUGACGCUCAGGCACGAAAGCGUGGGGAGCAAACGGGAUUAGAUACCCCGGUAGUCCACGCCGUAAACGAUGGAUGCUAGCUGUUAGAGGUAUCGACCCCUCUAGUAGCGAAGCUAACGCGUUAAGCAUCCCGCCUGUGGAGUACGGUCGCAAGACUAAAACAUAAAGGAAUUGACGGGGACCCGCACAAGCGGUGGAGCGUGUUGUUUAAAUUCGAUGGUAAGCGAAGAACCUUACCCAGGCUUGACAUCCUUGGAAGCACUGCGAAAGCAGCGUGUGCCUUCGGGAACCAAGUGACAGGUGUUGCAUGGCCGUCGUCAGCUCGUGUCGUGAGAUGUUUGGUUAAGUCCAUCAACGAGCGCAACCCUUAUAGUUAGUUGAAUAAAAAAAAGCUAGACUGCCCUGGUAACAGGGAGGAAGGGGGGGAUGAUGUCAGGUCAGUAUUACCCUUACGUCUGGGGCUACAAACACGCUACAAUGGCCGGUACAAAGGGCAGCCAAGUCGCGAGACGGAGCAAAUCCCAUCAAAGCCGGUCCCAGUUCGGAUAGCAGGCUGAAACUCGCCUGCUUGAAGUCGGAAUCGCUAGUAACGGUAGGUCAGCACACUACCGUGAAUACGUUCCCGGGUCUUGUACACACCGCCCGUCAAACCAUGAAAGUCGCCAAUACCCGACGUCCCAACUUUGCUUGGGCCUAAGGUGGGGGAGAUGAUUGGGGUUAAGUCGUAACAAGGUA